UGUGAGGUGUGAAAAGGUCAAAUGUACAAAUACACACCUAUUUAUCCUGCAACUGGAGGCAUCCAUCAUUGCUAUGAGGUCUGUCCUUUGCACCUGGCAGUUAGCAUAGAUAAAACAUACAGAGAAGAAGAGAAAUUACUAAAUGUUUUUUCCCCCCUUCCUUAGCAAAGUUUGACCUUGAAUUACCUUGUCUGAAUUGGAUUAUGAUGUAAUUUGUCAAACCACAAAACACAGCAUCUCAUGAAAAUGUUUUUAAAAGGGACACUAUAGUAACCAGAAACAUUAUAGCGUAAUGUAGUGGUUCUGGUCUCUAUAACCCUUGCAGGCUAAGCAUGG